AGCAUCUGUUAUUUUUUGACUUUUUAUCAAUAGCCAUUCUGACUGGUGUGUGAUGGUAUCUCAUUGUGGUUUUGAUUUGCAUUUCUGUAAUGAUAAGUGAUGUUGAGCAUUUUUUCAUAUCCUUGUUGAUCACAAGUAUGUCUUUCGAAGUGUCUGUUCAUGUCCUUUACCCACGUUUUAAAAUGGAGUUGUUUGGUUUUUUUGCUUAAAUUCCUUAUAGAUUCUGGAUAUUAGACCUUUUUCAGAUGCAUAGUUUGCAAAUAUUUUAUCCCAUUCCGUAGGUUGUCUGUUUAUUCUGUUGAUAGUUUCUUUUGCUGUUCAGAAGCACUUUAUUUUAAUUAGGUCCCAUUUGUCAAUUUUUGUUUUUGUUGCAAUUGCUUUGGCGUCUUCAUCAUGAAAUCUUUGCCGGAUCCUAUAUCCGGAAUAGUAUUUCCUAGGUUAUCUUCCAGGGUUUUUGUAGUUUUAGGUUUUUUAAGUCUUUAAAUCCACCUUGAGUUAAUUUUUGUAUAUGGCUACCCAAGAUUUUAAGAUUUAAUAGAACACCAAUGACACCAGAUUUAUUUUGCUUUCAAGUAUAAUAUUGUGUUAUAAUAUUGUCCCAAUGCCUUUUUAAUCCGAACAGACUCCUGCCACCUUAUGCUUGUCACCAACCCUUCUCCUCCAAAUCUGAUACACCAGACUUUCUGAGAACCUGUGCUUUAAUGAGUAAACUCACACAGCUGCAACAAAUGCUGCCACCUCCUGGCAUCUUUUAAAAAGGCUGGAGUGCAGUGGCAUGAUCUCGGCUCACUGCAACCUCCGCCUCCCGGGUUCAAGUGAUUCUCCUGCCUCAGCCUCCCAAAUAGCUGUGAUUACAGGUCACAGUGUCCAUGUAACUAACUCCUGGUUAAGAGGAUAUGGAUAGAAGGCACAUGUUCAACUUCUGGCUUCUGUCCUUGAAAAGUGUGAUGAUUCCAUCCUUUGCUGUCUUCCUUCCCGCUGACUGGAAUGUGGACUUGGUAGUGAGCUACCUUGGACUAUGUGGAUGAAGACAAAGAUAAAAGGAACCAAGGACUCUGAUGAUUCUGUAGAGAAGAGGAACCGUAGCUGCUCAAACGUUCAUGUGAAAGAAGAAUAAACUAUCAGAUUUAAGCCACUGCUAUUUUGGGUCUUUGUGAUAAACAGUGUUUACCAUAUCCUAAUUCACUAUUCCUUCCAUUUCUAGGUCAACCAUGUUGAAUUAAAUAUAGUGCUCUAACUUGCAAUU
rnacentral:lncRNA from 1 species